rnacentral:rRNA from 1 species
UACGUAGGGUGCAAGCGUUAAUCGGAAUUACUGGGCGUAAAGAGUGCGUAGGCGGUUCGUUAUGUCUGCUGUGAAAGCCCCGGGCUUAACCCGGGAAUGGCAGUGGAAACUGGCGGGCUUGAGUGUGGCAGAGGUCAGUGGAAUUCCGAGUGUAGAGGUGAAAUUCGUAGAUAUUCGGAAGAACACCAGUGGCGAAGGCGACUGACUGGACAUGUAUUGACGCUGAGGUGCGAAAGCGUGGGGAGCAAACAGG